UACGAAGGGGGCUAGCGUUGCUCGGAAUGACUGGGCGUAAAGGGCGCGUAGGCGGUUUGAUCAGUUAGGCGUGAAAUUCCUGGGCUUAACCUGGGGGCUGCGCUUGAUACGGUCAGACUAGAGUGUGGAAGAGGGUCGUGGAAUUCCCAGUGUAGAGGUGAAAUUCGUAGAUAUUGGGAAGAACACCGGUGGCGAAGGCGGCGACCUGGUCCAUUACUGACGCUGAGGCGCGAAAGCGUGGGGAGCAAACAGG
rnacentral:rRNA from 1 species